GUUAAGCGACUAAGCGUACACGGUGGAUGCCCUGGCAGUCAGAGGCGAUGAAGGACGUGCUAAUCUGCGAUAAGCGUCGGUAAGGUGAUAUGAACCGUUAUAACCGGCGAUUUCCGAAUGGGGAAACCCAGUGUGUUUCGACACACUAUCAUUAACUGAAUCCAUAGGUUAAUGAGGCGAACCGGGGGAACUGAAACAUCUAAGUACCCCGAGGAAAAGAAAUCAACCGAGAUUCCCCCAGUAGCGGCGAGCGAACGGGGAGCAGCCCAGAGCCUGAAUCAGUGUGUGUGUUAGUGGAAGCGUCUGGAAAGGCGCGCGAUACAGGGUGACAGCCCCGUACACAAAAAUGCACAUGCUGUGAGCUCGAUGAGUAGGGCGGGACACGUGGUAUCCUGUCUGAAUAUGGGGGGACCAUCCUCCAAGGCUAAAUACUCCUGACUGACCGAUAGUGAACCAGUACCGUGAGGGAAAGGCGAAAAGAACCCCGGCGAGGGGAGUGAAAAAGAACCUGAAACCGUGUACGUACAAGCAGUGGGAGCACGCUUCGGCGUGUGACUGCGUACCUUUUGUAUAAUGGGUCAGCGACUUAUAUUCUGUAGCAAGGUUAACCGAAUAGGGGAGCCGAAGGGAAACCGAGUCUUAACUGGGCGUUAAGUUGCAGGGUAUAGACCCGAAACCCGGUGAUCUAGCCAUGGGCAGGUUGAAGGUUGGGUAACACUAACUGGAGGACCGAACCGACUAAUGUUGAAAAAUUAGCGGAUGACUUGUGGCUGGGGGUGAAAGGCCAAUCAAACCGGGAGAUAGCUGGUUCUCCCCGAAAGCUAUUUAGGUAGCGCCUCGUGAAUUCAUCUCCGGGGGUAGAGCACUGUUUCGGCAAGGGGGUCAUCCCGACUUACCAACCCGAUGCAAACUGCGAAUACCGGAGAAUGUUAUCACGGGAGACACACGGCGGGUGCUAACGUCCGUCGUGAAGAGGGAAACAACCCAGACCGCCAGCUAAGGUCCCAAAGUCAUGGUUAAGUGGGAAACGAUGUGGGAAGGCCCAGACAGCCAGGAUGUUGGCUUAGAAGCAGCCAUCAUUUAAAGAAAGCGUAAUAGCUCACUGGUCGAGUCGGCCUGCGCGGAAGAUGUAACGGGGCUAAACCAUGCACCGAAGCUGCGGCAGCGACGCUGAUGCGUUGUUGGGUAGGGGAGCGUUCUGUAAGCCUGCGAAGGUGUGCUGUGAGGCAUGCUGGAGGUAUCAGAAGUGCGAAUGCUGACAUAAGUAACGAUAAAGCGGGUGAAAAGCCCGCUCGCCGGAAGACCAAGGGUUCCUGUCCAACGUUAAUCGGGGCAGGGUGAGUCGACCCCUAAGGCGAGGCCGAAAGGCGUAGUCGAUGGGAAACAGGUUAAUAUUCCUGUACUUGGUGUUACUGCGAAGGGGGGACGGAGAAGGCUAUGUUGGCCGGGCGACGGUUGUCCCGGUUUAAGCGUGUAGGCUGGUUUUCCAGGCAAAUCCGGAAAAUCAAGGCUGAGGCGUGAUGACGAGGCACUACGGUGCUGAAGCAACAAAUGCCCUGCUUCCAGGAAAAGCCUCUAAGCAUCAGGUAACAUCAAAUCGUACCCCAAACCGACACAGGUGGUCAGGUAGAGAAUACCAAGGCGCUUGAGAGAACUCGGGUGAAGGAACUAGGCAAAAUGGUGCCGUAACUUCGGGAGAAGG
rnacentral:rRNA from 1 species